GAUGAACGCUGGCGGCGUGCCUAAUACAUGCAAGUCGAGCGAACAGAUGAGGAGCUUGCUCCUCUGACGUUAGCGGCGGACGGGUGAGUAACACGUGGAUAACCUACCUAUAAGACUGGGAUAACUUCGGGAAACCGGAGCUAAUACCGGAUAAUAUAUUGAACCGCAUGGUUCAAUAGUGAAAGACGGUUUUGCUGUCACUUAUAGAUGGAUCCGCGCCGCAUUAGCUAGUUGGUAAGGUAACGGCUUACCAAGGCAACGAUGCGUAGCCGACCUGAGAGGGUGAUCGGCCACACUGGAACUGAGACACGUUCCAGACUCCUACGGGAGGCAGCAGUAGGGAAUCUUCCGCAAUGGGCGAAAGCCUGACGGAGCAACGCCGCGUGAGUGAUGAAGGUCUUCGGAUCGUAAAACUCUGUUAUUAGGGAAGAACAAAUGUGUAAGUAACUAUGCACGUCUUGACGGUACCUAAUCAGAAAGCCACGGCUAACUACGUG
rnacentral:rRNA from 1 species